CCCCACCCCCCCGCUCCCUCCAGCGCCUUCUCCUUCCGCCCUGCGCCGGCCGCGUGGUGGGUCUGCGGCGGCACAGCGACUCAAGUCCGGGCUCCCUGACCUGUCACCUCCCGGCCACCCUGCCGAGCAGCCGCGCUCAGCUCCGGAACCACCCCCUCCAAGCUGUCUUCCUGGAUUUACUCAGCCCAAAGCUAUCCCCUUUCCUGGGGCGCAGCAGCCUGGAGGUGGGAACGGCCGUGCUGGAUGACCGCACCGAUCCAGAUUUGGAAGUUGCGAGGCAGGUAAGGCAGGAGGAUGAGCUGAAGAACGGUGUUGCUGGUUCAUGGUGAGAGGGUACUUGAAGUGAGUUACCAACCCUGGCACAUAUCGGUUCUGGACCAGACUGCUCUCUGCCAGGAUCUCUAGGGCCUCCACAGUGGCCAGUACUCCUGCAGAGGGCAGGGCCCAGCUCCGGGGCCUUUAGCUCACUCUCCUGGGAAGAAAGCGACUCUACUCCGAAGGCAGUCAGUACAUACUUUACUCACAAAGUCGGCAGGUGGCUGUGGAUUCCUUCUGUUCCCAGGAAUCACAUCGGGACGAACUGCACUGUGCAUUUGCCCUCACUGGUAGCUAAUCCCAACAGUGACAUUGGGCAUCAUUAUUAAUAGCCAGGUGGCCCCUGAUGUGAAGGGAACCCCCUCGGGUUGAGAAGUGAGGUGGUUUCAACUUUCCUAGCUAAAUCCUCUCCAGCUUGGCUUAAAGGCACCCUCGCUAUGAGAUGGAAAGCAGCCGUCUGUCUCCUUUGCGCUCUCGCUUGGACUCGCUGUUCCCCCAAUUUUGGCACUUCCCACAUAUUGCCUGUUAUUUUUACUUAACUAUUUCAAAUCUUUGCCUCUUAUUUCCUCAGUUAGCUACUGGAGGUUAAGAACAGUGGCAUAUCCUUCUAUUCUUGCCCACAAAUGCCAGUCUGUUAGCACGUAGUAUAUUUUCAAUAAACAUUU